rnacentral:rRNA from 1 species
GGAGCUUGCUCCACCGGAAAAAGAAGAGUGGCGAACGGGUGAGUAACACGUGGGUAACCUGCCCAUCAGAAGGGGAUAACACUUGGAAACAGGUGCUAAUACCGUAUAACAAUCGAAACCGCAUGGUUUUGAUUUGAAAGGCGCUUUCGGGUGUCGCUGAUGGAUGGACCCGCGGUGCAUUAGCUAGUUGGUGAGGUAACGGCUCACCAAGGCCACGAUGCAUAGCCGACCUGAGAGGGUGAUCGGCCACAUUGGGACUGAGACACGGCCCAAACUCCUACGGGAGGCAGCAGUAGGGAAUCUUCGGCAAUGGACGAAAGUCUGACCGAGCAACGCCGCGUGAGUGAAGAAGGUUUUCGGAUCGUAAAACUCUGUUGUUAGAGAAGAACAAGGAUGAGAGUAACUGUUCAUCCCUUGACGGUAUCUAACCAGAAAGCCACGGCUAACUACGUGCCAGCAGCCGCGGUAAUACGUAGGUGGCAAGCGUUGUCCGGAUUUAUUGGGCGUAAAGCGAGCGCAGGCGGUUUCUUAAGUCUGAUGUGAAAGCCCCCGGCUCAACCGGGGAGGGUCAUUGGAAACUGGGAGACUUGAGUGCAGAAGAGGAGAGUGGAAUUCCAUGUGUAGCGGUGAAAUGCGUAGAUAUAUGGAGGAACACCAGUGGCGAAGGCGGCUCUCUGGUCUGUAACUGACGCUGAGGCUCGAAAGCGUGGGGAGCAAACAGGAUUAGAUACCCUGGUAGUCCACGCCGUAAACGAUGAGUGCUAAGUGUUGGAGGGUUUCCGCCCUUCAGUGCUGCAGCUAACGCAUUAAGCACUCCGCCUGGGGAGUACGACCGCAAGGUUGAAACUCAAAGGAAUUGACGGGGGCCCGCACAAGCGGUGGAGCAUGUGGUUUAAUUCGAAGCAACGCGAAGAACCUUACCAGGUCUUGACAUCCUUUGACCACUCUAGAGAUAGAGCUUCCCCUUCGGGGGCAAAGUGACAGGUGGUGCAUGGUUGUCGUCAGCUCGUGUCGUGAGAUGUUGGGUUAAGUCCCGCAACGAGCGCAACCCUUAUUGUUAGUUGCCAUCAUUCAGUUGGGCACUCUAGCAAGACUGCCGGUGACAAACCGGAGGAAGGUGGGGAUGACGUCAAAUCAUCAUGCCCCUUAUGACCUGGGCUACACACGUGCUACAAUGGGAAGUACAACGAGUCGCGAAGUCGCGAGGCUAAGCUAAUCUCUUAAAGCUUCUCUCAGUUCGGAUUGUAGGCUGCAACUCGCCUACAUGAAGCCGGAAUCGCUAGUAAUCGCGGAUCAGCACGCCGCGGUGAAUACGUUCCCGGGCCUUGUACACACCGCCCGUCACACCACGAGAGUUUGUAACACCCGAAGUCGGUGAGGUAACCUUUGGAGCCAG